rnacentral:rRNA from 1 species
UACGGAGGGUGCAAGCGUUAUCCGGAUUCACUGGGUUUAAAGGGUGCGUAGGUGGGCAGGUAAGUCAGUGGUGAAAUCUCCGAGCUUAACUCGGAAACUGCCGUUGAUACUAUUUGUCUUGAAUAUUGUGGAGGUAAGCGGAAUAUGUCAUGUAGCGGUGAAAUGCUUAGAUAUGACAUAGAACACCAAUUGCGAAGGCAGCUUACUACACAACGAUUGACGCUGAGGCACGAAAGCGUGGGGAUCGAACAGG